UCUACACGAAUUUUUCAAAAAUCCCACGUUUUCUUUAGAAAGCUAUCCCAUAAUUACGUGCAAGGCUCUCAAGGUUUCGCUCUUUGCUGGUGAAUGAUAAAAAAUAUUCUCAAUUCGAGCACAGAAACUUUCGAAUUUUUCUACAUUUUUUUACUAUUCAUCGUCAACCGCAAAGUAUCACCAAAAAUUAUUUCGCGUCGAUUUAUCGAGUAACUUUGCCAACAUUGCCCGGGAGCUCAACUUGUCAAAGUGGCUUUGGGGAGAGCACCAUCCUCCAAUGAUGAUGAUCCCGUGGCGUCUCUCGUCGGUUGAAAUGACCCGUAAAGACGUUGGAAUAUUGUCGAAGGACUUACUAUGGUUAGAGAAUUCGAUGAGGAAAAAAAGGCACAGGAGAGCGAGCUGGCUCGUCUACUGGAAAAUUACCUGACAGCUAUCGCCGGAGUAAUCGCGUUCUGAUCCUUCACCACUUGCCGAGAAACAAAAGAAAAACUGCCUGAAGAGAUCAAAGACUUCUGAAAUUAAUACUAAUCGAUUUCGGGAUUCGAUUCGACAUUGGUCAUGGGCUUAUUCUUUUUCGAUUGAUCGCUAUCUUAAUGCUUACAAGCCAACUGCAGAUCUUCGGCGUUUGUAUUUGAUAAACUUCUGGAAAGUUCAAAUAUCCAACGAGAAUACACGAGUUUAAUCCGUAAAUUUGCUCAGCUCACCUACUAGCCCAGAGAAUGGCGACGUGAUCAUGGGACAGAGAUAAAUUGAGAAAAAAAAUGAUUCGUGUUAGUUUUAGGUGUUUUGGAACACUUGUGAGAAUAUUGAGCGGCGUGACAAUUGAUACCUUUAUUGCCCAAUAUGCUCAUAUAAAUACAGGCUCACAGCACUGGCCGACAUAGUCCGAUUGAGCUCUCAACACAAUCAACAUGUCAUCGCACUUUGUUACAGCGCUUGUGAUCGCCCUCGUUUGCACUCAAUUGUGUGAGGCCGAGAUCGUUCGAACGUGCAGGCCUCACUCGAUAAGAGUACUAUGCGGAAGAUGGUGCGAACCGAGCUGUGACUUCCCUGGACAUCGCCUUUGUGGCAUUCAGACCAAGUACUGCGAAUACGACUGCCGCUGCGUCGAUGGAUACGUGAGAAAUACGAAGACCGGAGAAUGUAUUCGCUACGAUAAUUGCGUCCACAUGUGAAUGAAGUUACGUACGAGAAGUGAGGACGUGCGAUCGUUGUGGCUCUUCAUGAUCGAUCAUGAUC